ACACCUCAACUCUCAUGGCUUGCCAUGAUGAGCUUGGACUUUGGGGGUCUUGCAGGCCUACGGUCGGCUCCUCUCAAACGAAUCAGCUUGCCAGUGUUUGGUGGCAUCACAGGUGUGAUAACUAUCUACGCUUGUGGUUUUCCGCCAGGUAACCUUCAGUGAUGGAGGUUCGCUGGGGCUCACAAAUGUCUCUCCUCAGCGAGGACAGCUUUUAAC
rnacentral:misc_RNA from 1 species